rnacentral:rRNA from 1 species
AGUGAACGCUGGCGGUAGGCCUAACACAUGCAAGUCGAACGGCCGCACAGUAAGCUCUUUCUCUUACGGGUGGCGAGUGGCGGACGGGUGACAAAUACAUCGGAAUCUACUUUUUCGUGGGUGAUAACGUAGGGAAACUUACGCUACUAGCGCAUACGACCUACGGGUGAAAUCAGUAGUUCUUCACACCUUUCGCGUUUGUAUGAGCCGAUGUCGGAUUAGCUAGUUGGUUGGGUAACGGCCUACCAAGGCGACGAUGCGUAGCUGAUCUGAGAGGAUGAUCAGCCACACUGGAACUGAGACACGGUCCAGACUCCUACGGGAGGCAGCAGUGGGGAAUAUUGGACAAUGGGCGCAAGCCUGAUGGAGCAACACCGCGUGGGUGAAGAAGGUCUUCGGGUUGUAAAGCUCUGUUGUUGGGAAAGAAAAGAAGCAGGUGAAUACAUGGAUGUUCUGACGGUACCCAAAGAAUAAGCAACGGCUAACUUCGUG